AAGUUCCUACGGGGGGCAGCAGUGGGGAAUAUUGCACAAUGGGGGAAACCCUGAUGCAGCAACGCCGCGUGAAGGAAGACGGGUUUCGGAUUGUAAACUUCUGUUCUUAGUGAAGAAGAAUGACGGUAGCUAAGGAGCAAGCCACGGCUAACUACGUGCCAGCAGCCGCGGUAAUACGUAGGUGGCAAGCGUUGUCCGGAAUUACUGGGUGUAAAGGGAGCGCAGGCGGGAAGCCAAGUCAGCUGUGAAAACUACGGGCUUAACUUGUAGACUGCAGUUGAAACUGGUCUUCUUGAGCGAAGUAG
rnacentral:rRNA from 1 species